AGAGUUUGAUCCUGGCUCAGGAUAAACGCUGGCGGCGUGCCUAAUACAUGCAAGUCGAGCGAACGGACAAGAAGUCUUCGGACAUUUUGAAAGUGAGCGGCGAACGGGUGAGUAACACGUGGGUAACCUGCCCUUGAGAUUGGGAUAACAGUUGGAAACGACUGCUAAUACCGAAUGGGAACGAGUGAGGCAUCUCACAAGUUUAAAAGGAGCUUUCAAGCUUCGCUUAAGGAUGGACCUGCGGCGCAUUAGCUAGUUGGUGGGGUAAAGGCCUACCAAGGCGACGAUGCGUAGCCGACCUGAGAGGGUGAUCGGCCACACUGGGACUGAGACACGGCCCAGACUCCUACGGGAGGCAGCAGUAGGGAAUUUUCCACAAUGGACGAAAGUCUGAUGGAGCAACGCCGCGUGUGCGAAGAAGGCCUUCGGGUUGUAAAGCACUGUUGUAAGGGAAGAACAGAUGUGAGAGGAAAUGCUCAUAUUGUGACGGUACCUUACCAGAAAGCCACGGCUAACUACGUGCCAGCAGCCGCGGUAAUACGUAGGUGGCGAGCGUUAUCCGGAAUUAUUGGGCGUAAAGGGCGUGUAGGCGGUGUUUUAAGUCUGAUGUGAAAGCCAACGGCUCAACCGUUGAAAUGCAUUGGAAACUGGAACACUUGAGUGUCGGAGAGGAAAGCGGAAUUCCUAGUGUAGCGGUGAAAUGCGUAGAUAUUAGGAGGAACACCAGUGGCGAAGGCGGCUUUCUGGACGACAACUGACGCUGAGGCGCGAAAGCGUGGGGAGCAAACAGGAUUAGAUACCCUGGUAGUCCACGCCGUAAACGAUGAAUGGUAAGUGUUGGAGGGGGGAUCCUUCAGUGUGGAAAUUAACAGAUUAAGCACUCCCGCCUGGGGAGUACGGUGGCAAGGGUGAAACUCAAAAGAAUUGACGGGGAGCCGCACAAGCGGAGGAGUAUGUGGUUUAAUUUGAAGCAACGCGAAGAACCUUACCAACUCUUGACAUCCCAGUGACCGUUCUAGAGAUAGAACUUUCCCUUCGGGGACAAUGGUGACAGGUGGUGCAUGGUUGUCGUCAGCUCGUGUCGUGAGAUGUUGGGUUAAGUCCCGCAACGAGCGCAACCCUUGUCCUUAGUUGCCAGCACGUAGAGGUGGGGACUUUAAGGAGACUGCCGGUGAUAAACCGGAGGAAGGUGGGGAGGACGUCAAAUCAUCAUGCCCCUUAUGAGUUGGGGUACACACGUACUACAAUGGCCGGUACAAAGGGAAGAGAACCUGCGAGGGUAAGCGGACCCCAUAAAGCCGGUCUAAGUUCGGAUCGCAGUCUGCAACUCGACUGCGUGAAGUCGGAUUCGUUAGUAAUCGCAGAUCAGAAUGCUGCGGUGAAUACGUUCCCGGGUCUUGUACACACCGCCCGUCACACCACGAGAGUUUAUAACACCCAAAACCGGUGGCUUAACCAGAUUACUGGAGGGGGCCGUCUAAGGUGGGAUAAGCGAUUGGGGUGAAGUAGUAACAAGGUAACC
rnacentral:rRNA from 1 species